rnacentral:misc_RNA from 1 species
AGCAGCCGCGGUAAUUCCAGCUCCAAUAGCGUAUAUUAAAGUUGUUGCAGUUAAAAAGCUCGUAGUUGAAUUUCGGGAUCAAUUAAUUGGUCGUGCCUCUGGUACGUACUGGUUUUAUUGGUUUCUCCCUUCUGACGAACCAUGAUGUCAUUAAUUUGGUGUCGUGGAGAAUCAGGACUGUUACUUUGAAAAAUUAGAGUGUUUAAAGCAAGCUAACGCUUGAAUACAUUAGCAUGGAAUAAUGAAAUAGGACGUUUGAUCCUAUUUUGUUGGUUUCUAGGAUCGACGUAAUGAUUAAUAGGGAUAGUUGGGGGCAUUAGUAUUCAAUUGUCAGAGGUGAAAUUCUUGGAUUUAUUGAAGACUAACUACUGCGAAAGCAUUUGCCAAGGAUGUUUUCAUUAAUCAAGAACGAAAGUUAGGGGAUCGAAGACGAUCAGAUACCGUCGUAGUCUUAACCAUAAACUAUGCCGACUAGGGAUCGGAUGAUGUUAAUUUUUUAAUGUACUCAUUCGGCGCCUUA